AUUGAACGCUGGCGGCAGGCCUAACACAUGCAAGUCGAGCGGAGCGGCGGACGGGUGAGUACUGCCUAGGAAUCUGCCUGGUAGUGGGGGAUAACGUCCGGAAACGGGCGCUAAUACCGCAUAAUCACAAAUGAGCCUAGGUCGGCUUAGCUAGUUGGUGGGGUAAAGGCCUAACAAGGCGACGAUCCGUAACUGGUCGGAGAGGAUGAUAAGUGAUACGGGAACUGAGACACGGUCCAGACUCCUACAGGAGGCAGCAGUGGGGAGUAUUGGACAAUGGGCGAGAGACGAAUCCAGCAAUGCCGAGUGUUUGAAGAAGGUCUUCGGAUUGUAAAGCACUUAAAGUUGGGAGGCGUUACCAACAGAAUAAGCACCGGCUAACUUCGUGCCAGCCGCCGCGGUAAUAC
rnacentral:rRNA from 1 species